rnacentral:rRNA from 1 species
GCCAGUAGUCAUAUGCUUGUUUCAAGGAUUAAGCCAUGCAAGCCUCAGAGUACAUGGAUCUCUUCAAAUUGGUCUGCGAACGGCUCAUUAAACCAGCUUCAAUCCACAUGAUAUGUCAAGGCUUCGGCCUUCUCUCUCGGAUAUCCGACCUAACUGGUUGGUUAAUACGUGGAUGAAGCCGCAACCACCUUCCAUUCAAGUGGUGAGGGGAAACCUGAACCACGGAGGGUGGUUGACAAUUGACUGAUCGUAACAAGCCAACACUCGAAAGAGUAGUCUGUCUUGAUGAAUCAAGUCAAUCAUUGAUAUAGCGCAUGUGUUUACAUCUGGCGCUGGAUCAUACGAGAUUCUGACCUAUCAGCUUUAGAUGGUAGUGUAAAGGACUACCAUGGCUUUGACGGGUAACGGAGGAUCAGAGUUCGAUCCCGGAGAGGGAGCCUGAGAUACGGCUACCACAUCCAUGGAAGGCAGCAGGCGCGUAAAUUACCCAAUGCCAACAAUUGGCGAGGUAGCGAUGAAACAUAACAACUCUGCUGGUCAGCUGAUCAGUGGAGAUUGUAAUGGAUGAUAUCCAAAACUCUCAAUGAGUAACAAUCGGAGGGCAAGUCUGGUGCCAGCAGCCGCGGUAAUUCCAGCUCCGAUAGUGUAUAUUAGAAUUGUUGCUGUUAAAACGCUCGUAGUUGGAUUCAGAUCAGCGCUGAAUGGAGGCCCAAUGGGUCCUGGCUUCGGUCUUGAUUCCUGCGGGGUAUCCCCUCUGUUCGUUGGGCGUUGCAUCAACCACACACGGAAAUGAUUCCUCGCUGAAGCCUCCUUUACUGGUGGUGGAAGCAAUCACACAUCAAGCAUGUGUUCACAGGACGUCCGUGGUACUUACCGUGAACAAAUCAGCGUGGCCAAAGCAACCGACGUGUUCAGCUGUAUGACAUAGCAUGGGACAACAACACAUCUUCUACCAUUGUGGUCUUGGUUUGUUUGUUGGCUUAUACGACCCGUAUGGGCAAUGCAGGGUAGGACUUCUCCCAGUGCUUCUGCCUUCUACUUUGGUAGCUGGUUGAUGUUGCUGUGGAGAACCUACUCCUAUCGGGAUUAAGAGAGCUUGGCGGUGGGAUACAUAUUCCUACGCGAGAGGUGAAAUUCUUAGACCGUAGGAAGAUGAACUAAAGCGAAGGCAUUUCUCAAGCAUGCUUUCAUUAAUCAAGAACGUAAGUGUGGGGAUCGAAGAUGAUCAGAUACCAUCGUAGUCCACACUGUAAACUAUGCCAGCACAGAGCCAGGUGUCUGUUUACGAACAUGACUCACCUGGCACUACCCCCAAUAACGAGAAAUCCUAAGCUUCUGGGUU